GACGAACGCUGGCGGCGUGCUUAACACAUGCAAGUCGAACGGAAAGGCCCUGCUUUUGUGGGGUGCUCGAUUGGCGAACGGGUGAGUAACACGUGAGUAACCUGCCCUUGACUUGGGGAUAACUUCUGGAAACUGGGGCUAAUACCGGAUAGGAGCUCCUGCUGCAUGGGGGGGGUUGGAGAGUUUCGGCGGUUGGGGAUGGGCUCGCGGCUUAUCAGCUUGUUGAGGGGGUAGUGGCUUACCAAGGCUUUGGCGGGUAGCCGGCCUGAGAGGGUGACCGGCCACGUUGGGACUGAGAUACGGCACAGCCUCCUACGGGAGGCAGCAGUGGGGAAUAUUGCACAAUGGGAGGAAGCCUGAUGCAGCCAAGCCGCGUGCGGGAUGACGGCCUUCGGGUUGUAAACCGCAUUCGCCUGUGACGAAGCGUGAGUGACGGUAAUGGGUAAAGAAGCACCGGCUAACUACGUG
rnacentral:rRNA from 1 species